rnacentral:tRNA from 1 species
GGGGAUUUAGCUCAGUGGUAGAGCGCUUGCCUAGGAAGCGUAAGGCCCUGGGUUCGGUCCCCAGCUCG